rnacentral:rRNA from 1 species
AUUGAACGCUGGCGGCAGGCCUAACACAUGCAAGUCGAACGAGUGGCGGACGGGUGAGUAAUGUCUGGGAAACUGCCUGAUGGAGGGGGAUAACUACUGGAAACGGUAGCUAAUACCGCAUACCAUCGGAUGUGCCCAGAUGGGAUUAGCUAGUAGGUGGGGUAAAGGCUCACCGAGGCGACGAUCCCUAGCUGGCCUGAGAGGAUGACCAGCCACCCGGGAACGGGGACACGGUCCAGACUCCUACGGGAGGAAGCAGUGGGGAAUAUUGCACAAUGGGCGCAAGCCGGAUGCAGCCAUGCGGCGUGUAUGAAGAAGGCCUUCGGGUUGAAAAGUACUUUCAGCGGGGAGGCGGUACCCGCAGAAGAAGCACCGGCUAACUCCGUGCCAGCAGCCGCGGUAAUAC